GUGCAUAUCAGUAGACCUCACCUUGCUAUGUCCUGGCAUGGUGAGGGGGAUAGCAUGUGCCAGAGGUGAUGUGGAGUGACUGUCAGAUGCAGCCAGCAGAGUAGAUGGUUGGCUUAACUGGUACUCCCACAUUC
rnacentral:snoRNA from 1 species